AGACUAUGAUGUGUAGCCGGGCUGAGAGGUUGAACGGCCACAUUGGGACUGAGACACGGCCCAAACUCCUACGGGAGGCAGCAGUAGGGAAUUUUCGGCAAUGGAGGAAACUCUGACCGAGCAACGCCGCGUGAACGAUGAAGUAUUUCGGUACGUAAAGUUCUUUUAUUAGGGAAGAAUAAAUGAUGGAAAAAUCAUUCUGACGGUACCUAAUGAAUAAGCCCCGGCUAACUAUGUGCCAGCAGCCGCGGUAAUACAUAGGGGGCAAGCGUUAUCCGGAAUUAUUGGGCGUAAAGGGUGCGUAGGCGGUUAAAUAAGUUUAUGGUCUAAGUGCAAUGCUCAACAUUGUGAUGCUAUAAAAACUGUUUAGCUAGAGUAAGAUAGAGGCAAGUGGAAUUCCAUGUGUAGUGGUAAAAUGCGUAAAUAUAUGGAGGAACACCAGUAGCGAAGGCGGCUUGCUGGGUCUUUACUGACGCUGAGGCACGAAAGCGUGGGGAGCAAACAGGAUUAGAUACCCUGGUAGUCCACGCCGUAAACGAUGAGUACUAAACGUUGGGUAAAACCAGUGUUGAAGUUAACACAUUAAGUACUCCGCCUGAGUAGUACGUACGCAAGUAUGAAACUUAAAGGAAUUGACGGGACUCCGCACAAGCGGUGGAUCAUGUUGUUUAAUUCGAAGGUACCCGAAAAACCUCACCAGGUCUUGACAUGCUUCUGCAAAGCUGUAGAAACACAGUGGAGGUUAUCAGUUGCACAGGUGGUGCAUGGUUGUCGUCAGCUCGUGUCGUGAGAUGUUGGGUUAAGUCCCGCAACGAGCGCAACCCUUAUUGUUAGUUACCAGCACGUAAUGGUGGGGACUUUAGCAAGACUGCCAGUGAUAAAUUGGAGGAAGGUGGGGACGACGUCAAAUCAUCAUGCCCCUUAUGACCUGGGCUACAAACGUGAUACAAUGGCUGUUACAAAGGGUAGCUGAAGCGCAAGUUUUUGGCGAAUCUCAAAAAAACAGUCUCAGUUCG
rnacentral:rRNA from 1 species